AUUGAACGCUGGCGGCAGGCCUAACACAUGCAAGUCGAACGAGUGGCGGACGGGUGAGUAAUGUCUGGGAAACUGCCCGAUGGAGGGGGAUAACUACUGGAAACGGUAGCUAAUACCGCGUACCAUCGGAUGUGCCCAGAUGGGAUUAGCUUGUAGGUGAGGUAACGGCGCACCUAGGGCACGAUCCCUAGCUGGUCUGAGAGGAUGACCAGCCACACGGGAAAGGAGACACGGGACGGAAUCCUAGGGGAGGCAGCAGUGGGGAAUAUGGCACAAUGGGCGAAAGCAUGAUGCAGCCAUGCCGCGUGUAUGAAGAAGGCCUUCGGGUUGUAAAGUACUUUCAGCGGGGAGGCGUUACCCGCAGAAGAAGCAACGGCUAACUCCGUGCCAGUAGCCGCGGUAAUAC
rnacentral:rRNA from 1 species